ensembl:lncRNA
GGCCUGGGCCUCUUAAGGGUUAAAUAAUACAAAAAAACAUAUCAAAUUGUCUCGCCGACCGCCCUAAUUAAAUUUGGCACUUUGGCUGCUAAGCUGUUUAGUCAGGUGAUACAAUCGGUGCCAAGAUCUCACUCUGCUCAGGCUAUGGGAUCAGAUUAUUUAGUCACCUAUAUAGUAUAGUAUAUCUAUAGACUACAGGCUGUAGGCAAUGAUCAAUGUUGCACUCCAACAGCAGGUUAUUGAAAAUGUCAAGUCAAGUUACAUUUAUUUAAAUUGAGCUUCCAUCACCAAGUUAAAAUCCAUUCUAAACCAAAUCCAUUUGAACAGCAAAGAAUAGAACAGGCUACCUAGAUCUCACGCACAGGGGGAGAAUUUCCCCAGCGGUACAGUGACUAUGCUGCAGCAGGUGUGUUAAACAUGACUAGAUGUGUGUUUGUGUUAAACAUGACUAGAUGUGUAUUUGUGUUAAACAUGACUAGAUGUGUAGGUGUGUUAAACAUGACUAGAUGUGUAUUUGUGUUAAACAUGACUAGAUGUGUGUGUUAAACAUGACUAGAUGUGUGUGUUAACCAUGACUAGAUGUGUGUGUUAAACAUGACUAGAUGUGUAGGUGUGUUAAACAUGACUAGAUGUGUGUGGUAAACAUGACUAGAUGUGUGUGUUAAACAUGACUAGAUGUGUAUUUGUGUUAAACAUGACUAGAUGUGUGUGUUAAACAUGACUAGAUGUGUAGGUGUGUUAAACAUGACUAGAUGUGUGUGUUAAACAUGACUAGAUGUGUAGGUGUGUUAAACAUAACUAGAUGUGUAGGUGUGUUAAACAUGACUAGAUGUGUAGGUGUUUUAAACAUGACUAGAUGUGUGUGUUAAACAUGACUAGAUGUGUGUGUUAAACAUGACUAGAUGUGUGUGUUAAACAUAACUAGAUGUGUAGGUGUGUUAAACAUGACUAGAUGUGUAGGUGUGUUAAACAUGACUAGAUGUGUGUUAAACAUAACUAGAUGUGUAGGUGUGUUAAACAUGACUAGAUGUGUGUGUUAAACAUGACUGUGUGUUAAACAUGACUAGAUGUGUAGGUGUGUUAAACAUGACUAGAUGUGUGUGUUAAAUAUGACUAGAUGUGUG